rnacentral:rRNA from 1 species
AAACGACUCUCGGCAACGGAUAUCUCGGCUCUCGCAUCGAUUAAGAACGUAGCGAAAUGCGAUACUUGGUGUGAAUUGCAGAAUCCCGUGAACCAUCGAGUCUUUGAACGCAAGUUGCGCCCGAAGCCAUUAGGCCGAGGGCACGCCUGCCUGGGCGUCA